AACGCGAAGAACCUUACCAGGACUUGACAUCCUUGGAAUUUCUCCGAAAGGAGAGAGUGCUUUAUUGAACCAAGUGACAGGUGAUGCAUGGCCGUCGUCAGCUCGUGUCGUGAGAUGUUUGGUUAAGUCCAUCAACGAGCGCAACCCUUAUGUUUAGUUGAAUUUUUCUAAACAGACUGCCCUGGUAACAGGGAGGAAGGAGGGGAUGAUGUCAGGUCAGUAUUUCCCUUACGUCCUGGGCUACAAACACGCUACAAUGGCCGGUACAAAGGGCAGCCAAGUCGCGAGACGGAGCAAAUCCCAUCAAAGCCGGUCUCAGUUCGGAUUGCAGGCUGAAACUCGCCUGCAUGAAGUCGGAAUCGCUAGUAAUGGUAGGUCAGCUAUACUACCGUGAAUACGUUCCCGGGCCUUGUA
rnacentral:rRNA from 1 species